rnacentral:rRNA from 1 species
UUACUUGGAUAACUGUGGUAAUUCUAGAGCUAAUACAUGCAAACAGAGUUCCGACCGGAGACGGGAGGAAUGCUUUUAUUAGAUCAAAACCAAUCGGCAGCGGGCGCGUCCGCGCGUCCGUUCGCCGCUCAACUUGGUGACUCUGAAUAACUUUCGGCUGAUCGCACGGUCUCGCACCGGCGACGCAUCUUUCAAAUGUCUGCCUUAUCAACUGUCGAUGGUAGGUUCUGCGCCUACCAUGGUCGUAACGGGUAACGGGGAAUCAGGGUUCGAUUCCGGAGAGGGAGCCUGAGAAACGGCUACCACAUCCAAGGAAGGCAGCAGGCGCGCAAAUUACCCACUCCCGGCACGGGGAGGUAGUGACGAAAAAUAACGAUACGGGACUCAUCCGAGGCCCCGUAAUCGGAAUGAGUACACUUUAAAUCCUUUAACAAGGAUCAAUUGGAGGGCAAGUCUGGUGCCAGCAGCCGCGGUAAUUCCAGCUCCAAUAGCGUA